GAUCAUGGCUCGAGGACGAACGCUGGCGGCACGCUUAACACAUGCAAGUCGAACGGAGAUAAUUGAGUUACUAGAUUAUCUUAGUGGCGGACGGGUGAGUAACACGUGAGCAACCUACCUUUGAGAGAGGGAUAGCUUCUGGAAACGGAUGGUAAUACCUCAUAACGUAUUGGUACCGCAUGAUACUGAUACCAAAGAUUUAUCACUCAAAGAUGGGCUCGCGUCUGAUUAGCUGGAUGGUGAGGUAACGGCUCACCAUGGCGACGAUCAGUAGCCGGACUGAGAGGUUGAACGGCCACAUUGGGACUGAGACACGGCCCAGACUCCGUACGGGAGGCAGCAGGUGGGGAAUAUUGCACAAUGGGGGAAACCCUGAAUGCAGCGAUGCCGCGUGGAGGAAGAAGGUUUUCGGAUUGUAAACUCCUGUCUUAAAGGACGAUAAUGACGGUACUUUAGGAGGAAGCUCCGGCUAACUACGUGCCAGCAGCCGC
rnacentral:rRNA from 1 species